UAAAAAAAAGUAUUUCAAAGGGGUUAUUAAGGAAAACUAAGGCAAAUUUAUAAAAAAGGAGGUUUAAAACCAAAAGCUUCAAGAAAUAAAUAAAAAAUGAAAAUUACAAUUUAUUUUCCAAUAUGAAAAGAAAAGCGAUCCUAAGGUAAACCUUGCGUAAUUAAUUACUUCCUGAAGUAAAACAUUUUAUUAGGGAAAGGAAAGGAAAUCAACCGAGACUCCGAAAGUAAUGGUGAGUGAAAUCGGAUUAGCCUAAAUUAAAAGUAAAAAUUGAAUAACUUAAACAUUUUAAAUAGAAGAUUGAAUAUAAAAUUCAUUAAAUAUUAAUUAUGUAUUAGUUACCAUUAAAAUUAAAAAAAUAAUGGUCUAAAAAAGGUCAUAAAACUCUAAGUCCUGUAGAUUUAACUUUUAAUUAAAAAGGAAAUAAUUUAGAAACAUUAAAAUAUUAAUUUAUUUUAAAAAUUCUAAAAUUAACCUAAAAAAAGUACGAUGAGAGAAAACUUGUCGGAAUAUAGGGGUACCAUCCUCUAAGGCUAAGUAUUAUAAAUUUAGCGAUAGUGAAUAAGUACUGUAAAGGAAAAGUUUGAAAAGCGAGUGGUAUACAAAAAGUGAUUUUUUAAAAUAAAUAUUAAUUAUUUUAAAAAUGAAUCGGUGAAAUAGAUCAUGAAUUAGUAACUCUAUAAGCAGUCGAAAUUCUACUUUAAAGCAAAAAAGAAUAAUGAAUGACGGCGUACCUUUUGCAUAAUGGGUCAGCAAGUUAAUAGGAGUAGCAAGGUUAAAAGCCCUAGCGAAAGCGACUGGACUAUAUUUAUAAUCAAUAUUGAUUAUAAUAAAAAUAGUGAUGGAUAAGUUACUUCUAUUAGACCCGAAGCCAGGUGAUCUUACCAAGACCAGAUUAUAAUGGAUCGAACGGGUGAAUGUUGCAUAAUUCUCCGAUGAGUCUUGGUAAGCGGUGAAAUGCCAAUCUGACCUGGUGCUAGCUGGUUUUCUACCGAAACAUAUUUAAGUAUGACGUCUACACAAAAUUUAUGGAGGUACAGCAAGGCAAUUCCCAACAAGUUUAAGGGUUGUAAUACAAGAUAAUAUCUAGUAUUACAUCAGCCUUUUAGGCGUUUAGGUUGCGGGGACCUCGAAAAUCUUACCUAUGGAAGCGAAUCUCGGAAUUACAUAAAUUGAUGGUAGAUAUUCAGACUACUCAUGCUAAGUUGGGUAGUCAAGACGGAAACAGCCGAGAACACUGAUCAAGGUCCCAAAUGAUUGUUAAGUGAAAUUAAGGACGUAGCAAUAUCGUAUACAGCUGUGAAGUGAGCCUGGUAGUCGCUACUUAUAAUGAUCGUACGUAACAACGCAUCAGCAGUUUAGAUAGUAGCGCCGAAAAUUUAACGGGUCUUAAACAAUCAACCGAUAUCGUGUUGGUUAAGAAUAAAUAAAUUUAUUUAUUUUUAAUCUAGGUAGUAGAACAUUCAGUCUAACUAAUAAUAAAACAGUGUUUCAUUGUUUUUUAGGUUACUGAAGAGAGAAUGCUGACAUGAGUAACGUAAAAAGAAGUUAAAAUACUUCUCGCCGAAUACGAAAGGGUUGCAAAUUGGAAAGGUUAAUCCGUUUUGUGUGAAUGCGGCCUCUAAGGUCCAAAACCAAAGUUUUGGCUGAUGAGUAUCUAAUAGAAAGUCCAAUAAAAUAAUGGACCAGGAAAAAAAUAUUAGAAGUAAUCAAGUUUUAAAUAGAAAAAUAAAAUUUUUUCAUUAAAAAAAAAUAUAAUAUAAAAAUACUAUAAAAUAUCUAACUAGAGUUUAAGAUAAUUUAAUUUAUUAUUUUAUCUUAAUAGGUCUUAGUAUUUUAUUAUUAUGUGAUUAAUUAAUAAUAAAUUUGAAUUCUCUGUUUAAAUUUAUUACUUAAUUUUAUAUAUAAUAAAUUUGGCAUUGUAGCCUAAUAAAGUAUUAUACUAACAAAAUAAAAAGUUAAAGAUUAAUUUAAAGGUUAUUAAUUAAAUAUCUAAACUAUUUCAAAUCUUGAUUUAAUCUUAAUCCUAAAGAAUAAAUUAAGAAUAUAGUCGUGAAAACAAUUGGUUUUUAAUUUAAUAAAAUCUAAUUUUUCAAAUGAAUGUAACUAAUGAUAACACUAGUUUAUUAGAAAUAAAAUUAUCCUUCAGGAGAAAAUAGAAAUAAAAAUUAAAGAUUUAUUAAUAUUUUAAUAAAUUAAAAUCAGUUUAUUUAUUUUUAAUAAAUAAAUUUAGGUUUUACCUUUCCCUAUUUGGAGUUAAUUAAAUAACUGAUCCUAUUCUUACUUAAAAACUAAGACUAGGUAAAAUUAAUCAAAUAAUUUAUAGAUUCAAUUCAAAAACUAUCCGGUAUCUAGUAAUUUAACUAACAAGGCCCUUACCACGUAGUGGAAGGGGUAAAUUAUUAGGGAAUGAAAUAUAAAUAAUUUAAUAACAUUUAUUUGUCCUUACCACGUAGUGGAAGGGGUAAAUUUAUUAGUACUAUACUUCCUUUGACAUUUGAGAAAUUAGAUGUCAUUCUAAUACUAAUAAGGAAAGUAAUAGAUAUAAGGAUAAGAAGUCAUUAUUUAGUUUUAAUUUGUUUAGUUUUACAAUUAUUAUUAUUUUUAAAAAUUUAAAUAGGGUUUAAAAUAAUUUUAAUAUAAAUAAAGUAAAAAUAAGUAAUUUCAUCUUCUUAUUAUUAAGAUAAAUAAUUAUAUAUAUUUAUUAAUUUAACUAUAAUAAUUAUUUAAAAAGAUAUAUUGUUAUAUAAAUUUUAAUACUACCGUACCCUAAACCGACACAGGUUCGUAGGUAGAGUAUACUAAGGCGUAGAGCUAAAAGUUGUUAAGGAACUCGGCAAGUUCACCUCAUAAGUUUGACGAAAAGAGGGACCGCAUAUAUUAAAAUUAGUUUAAAAUUCCGGAUUGUUAAAUUAAUAAAAUAUAAGGCGGUGGCACAGAAUCGGAGGCCCCGACUGUUUACUAAAAACACAACACAGUGCAAUCAUUAAUAUGAUAGUAUACUGUGUGAAAUUUGCCCGAUGCCAUUAAUAUAAGAGCGGUCAUGGGGAACUGUGACUAAUCGAAAAUCUGGUUAAUAGCGGUCUUAACUAUGAGGAUCCUAAGGUAGCAAAAUAAGUUGGCCAUUAAAUGUGGUCCGGUAUCAAUAAUGUAACGAUGGCCUCACUGUCUCUACAACUUGCUCAGUGAAAUUGAAUUACGCGUGCAGAUGCGCGUUACCUCCAGGGGGACGGGAAGACCCUAUGCAGCUUUACUGUAGUUAGUUAUCACAUGGAUCUAGAACAAUUUUAUUUAAUAGUGAAUAGGUAAGUCGAUAGACAAAUAGUGGAAACCUUAUAAUUAAAAUUGGGUUUAUGUUUACCUUAAAAUUAAAAACAAAAGGGAGAGUUGACUAAUUGGCAGUUUGACUGGGGCGGUCGUCUUUAAUAGAGUAGCAAAGUACAUCCAAAUAUUUCUAAAAAAAAAAUUAAAAUUUAAAAAUUUAAAGCAAAAAACUUUAUCUCUAUUUAGUAAACAAACUUUAUUAAAUAGAGGUAAGUAAAAAUUAAGAAUUUUCUUAAUUAAUAAAAUAAACAAUAACUUUCUCUUUAACUAAUUUUUGUUAAAAAUAUAAUUAAAAACUAUAUUAUAAACAGGAGUAAAGUGAUCCCUUUAUAUCUAUUUAAUUAAAUGAAUUGAGAUAAAGGGUCAAGAGUUUGGCUAAAAACAAUAACACAAUAAAAUUUUAUAAAGGUAUAGCUAGACGUUGAAUGGAGAUCAAUCAACCAGUGAAGGGUUGCGCAGAGUUCAAUGGCGGUAAGCAUGCUUAACUGAAAGACCUAAAAGUCGCACAGAUACGUAAGUAGGGCAUAGUGACCCCUCGCUAUAAUAUGGGAUAGACGGGGAUCAAUUAAUAAAAGUUACGCUAGGGAUAACAGGCUGAUAGCCGACGAGAGUACACAUUGUCUCGGCUGUUUGGCACCUCGAUGUCGACUCAUCCUAUCCUCCGGGGGAAGAAGCUUGGAAGGGUUCGGCUGUUCGCCGAUUAAAAGGGUACGUGAGUUGGGUUUAAUACGACGUGAGUCAGUAUGGUCCCUAUCUUCUGGAGGAAUAAGUAGUAAAAAGGGGCAGACCUUCUAGUACGAAAGGAUCAAUAGGCUGUGUUUCUCUAGUGUACCAAUUGUUUGUACUUUUUUGUAAGGGACUCAAAGUAUCUUGAAGACAAAAGUAAAGAGAAAUGGGGAAAAUCCUUUUUUAACUUUAAGCAAAAAGUUUAUACUCGUGGUUUCAAAUUAUGAGAAAAAGGUCACAAAAUCGGAACGCAUAGUUGGGUAGCCACAAACAUAAUAGAUAAGUGCUGAAUGUCUAUAAAGCAAGAAUCUAACCCCUAGAUACUAAAAAAAUGAUCAUAUUCUAUAUUUUCAGACUUGAUAAGAGUUUAGAAAAAUAAGAUUUAAUUCAUUAAUUAAGAAAUAGAACAUUUCUAGAUAGGCUGCAAAUGAA
rnacentral:rRNA from 1 species